UUAGAAUAAAUUAACGCCUCACUUUGCUUGGGCGCUGGAGGACCUUCUCGCCUUAAGGCCACCUAGCAUUUUUGACAACACUGCCUGUUUCUUCAUUUAUUUUUUUCUGAUUGAAGAUUGAAUUACAUCCUUAGCAAAAGUUGUUAGAUUUUCCAUCAUACUCAAAAUGGAAUUGGUGUUUGGAUCCACCAUGGUAAUCUCCAAAAUUCAUCAUCUUCAGCACCAUUCAUUUAAAUUGCCAGUGGCUUCAUGAGUGCUGCUUCUUCUGAACUGGCAGCAGCACCAGCUUUGACUGUUAUUACAUCUGUUCCAUCUGUCUUGGCCAACUCCAUUCCAUUUAUCCCUCCUGCCAUAAUAUCCAUUUUAGCAUUGGAAGCACCUGUUGCUGCAAUACCCUUUUGAACAGAUUCUCCAUGGUUGGUGGCAUAUUUGCUGGCCUUCUUUGAGGUUGCUUUAGAGAUAUUGACAUUAACCUGGGAGCUCGAAGCCUCUCUUCUUUUUAUUAUCGUGUUCAGUGAAUUAUAUUUGUUAAUCAUGUAUACAUUCUGCUGAUUAUAUGUUAUAUAUUUUUAAUGGGAGGGUCAAGAAGAAGCAGAGCAGCUGCAAUUAUGCAGCUUAAAGUAUAAAUGUUUGAUGUUAAACAGUGGUGGUAGAAGUUAAAAAUUAAAGAUAUAUUAGGAAGUCGAUAAGGAUGUAGUAGGAAGGUAAACAUCAUCGCAUUAAGUGGUCUGACAAACAGACAAUAGCCCCACCCAAACAUAAAAUGUAUAUUUCAUUAGCUGUUGCUCGUGGUCAUCUUCACAUUUGUUAGUCCUACCAGUCCAGCAUGGGAUAGAAAAUUCUAUUUGGAACCACUAAGCGCAGAUAACAUUGGCUAGUUGUUUGAUUUGAAUUUGAACUUUCUUGAGCUCAAUAUGUGUCUUGUUUAUAUUUGUACUAUCUCUGUCUCCUUGUCAAUGUUCAUGUUUUAGUAGCUUGCUUUUCUAUAUAUGAAAAAAAAAAAAUCUAAUAAUGUUAUAUCUGCAGGUUCAUAUGCCUUACGCUGUG
rnacentral:misc_RNA from 1 species